rnacentral:rRNA from 1 species
GACGAACGCUGGCGGCGUGCUUAACACAUGCAAGUCGAACGGAAAGGCCCUGCUUUUGUGGGGUGCUCGAGUGGCGAACGGGUGAGUAACACGUGAGUUAGCUGCCCUUGACUUUGGGAUAACUUCAGGAAACUUGGGCUAAUACCGGAUAGGAGCUCCUGCUGCAUGGUGGGGGUUGGAAAGUUUCGGCGGUUGGGGAUGGACUCGCGGCUUAUCAGCUUGUUGGUGGGGUAGUGGCUUACCAAGGCUUUGACGGGUAGCCGGCCUGAGAGGGUGACCGGCCACAUUGGGACUGAGAUACGGCCCAGACUACUACGGGAGGCAGCAGUGGGGAAUAUUGCACAAUGGACGGAAGCCUGAUGCAGCAACGCCGCGCGCGGGAUGACGGCCUUCGGGUUGUAAACCGCUGUCGCCUGUGACGAAGCGUGAGUGACGGUAAUGGGUAAAGAAGCACCGGCUAACUCCGUG